UUAUGGGAGGCAGUUUAAAAAUAUCCAAGUGAUAGAUACUCUUUUUCCUGUUGUGUUUAGAAUAAAUGGCUUACUGUAAUACUGGAAUUACAGAAGAAUUUGCUUUGAAACUUCUGGGAAAAUGAACUUCAUAAGCCCUUGAAACAUUUAUCUACUUUGAAUGUCUUUCUCUUUUCCUUUUUUUUUUUUUAACUGGUUUUUGUUUGUUUUGUUAAGAGACUAAGCAGUUUUCAAAUAUUACUGGCUGGAUUUUUCCAAUGUUUGAGAUAAAAGAGUGAAAAGUGCACAUUUUCUUCAGUGUUGGCUCAUUUUCCAGACAUCCAGGAGACUGCAGACAAGCAUAUCCAGAGAGGAGAGAACACAAAUUUGCAUUAGUCAUACCAAGACCUCAAAGACCUGAAAAGAAAGGAACUGUGUGCUUACUGAAGUCUACAUGUUCUUUAAUGAAUUUCAAGUGCAUUUGACAGUCUCUGUCUUCCCUGGAAAUGAGGUCCCAAGACUGCUAGAAAAGCCAGCCUGCUUGAAGUACAGUUUCUAAUCCCAAAAGAAAAUUCAAGUGAAAGGGUAGGUCAAUGCAGAGCACUGCAUGUAGCCAUAGCACAGUAUUUAGGGAGUAUACUUAUCUGUAAAGAUAAUGAAAACUGUUGUUCCUAUACUAAGUAUUCCUAGCAUCACAUCAGCCUGUGGUGAUUUUCUGAGCACUACAAAAUGUUUUUUUUUAUUUUUUUGUUUUGUUUUUGUUUUUUUGCUAUGAAGGAUCUAUUUUACAAGAAAAAAAAAUAUCCAAAGUGUCGCUAUCUAAAUUGCGAAACAAAUGUUAGUAUUAAGAAAGGCAAAUGGUAUUCUUUUGCUUUAUUUGCAUCAAGAGUUUAUCUGGGCCAGGGCUAAACAUAAUCUGAAUUGCUAGCCGGAUAUUGACAGAACUUGGUAACAUUCAUAUUACUAAAAAAGAAAAAAAAAUCAAAAACAAAACAAAACAAAAACUAUCAAAAGACCAAAUCUUGGUGUCAUAUAAUUCCAGUCUGAAUCCAUAAAUAAAGGUCCAAGUAUCACCACUCAAAAAUAAAUAAAUAAAUAAAUAAAUAAAUAAAUAAAAAUCUGAAUAAGAUACAAGAAGAAGGAAAAAAAAAAGUGAUAUAAAUAUAUAAAUUAAUUCAUUUUUUCCU